CGUCCGAGAAGUUGUCGGUGUGGUCUUCGGGCCGUGCGACCAGCGUAGGUGGCAACGUGGAGCGAAGAAAGGGCACAGCCCUGUCCCUCCCCGAAGAGAGGGCCGACCAUUGAUCAGAGCGGACACGUGGCUGUGCCCAGUUUCGCAUCGCCGCGGUCGCCACCACUGGUAUAACUGCAAUAAAAGCGGUUGCAGCGGCCCAACCGGACUUCCCCGAAUGUUGCCCUCCCGGACCGAGGGGUGGGCGACGGGGAGAAGGCUGAGCUGCGGUGGCUUAAGACCAGCCACGUAGCAUCCCCGAUCCACUCAUUGGAGCUCAGUCGUCCGGAGCAGCAGACAAGUGUGGAAAUUCCCCUGCCGUGUGAGAAGUGCCUUCAAACUUUAAGAUGAACGCAAAGCUGCUAGCAUUCGUUCUUGUCCUAGUCACCUGUGCCGUAUUGAUUGACAUGGCGGCAGCUUACGACGCCACAUUCUUUAACAUCGGUGUCGGCUGCCCUAAGUCGGCACUGUCUUGUGUCCAAGAAUGCCGAGAUCAACGUGGGCACCGAGGAGGCUAUUGCAACGGACCAUUCAACAUCGUAUGCACUUGCUACUGAGGCUUGGGACUGACUGGCUAUACUAUUGUGUGAGAGAAGUUCCUUAGAAGCGUGACCUUCUUCGACCAAAUUUGCUUUUCCCAUGUGUUUUACCUGAAUGACAGCUCGCUUGGCUUUGUCAUACGCACUUGUUCAUGCCAUAAUGCACUAAGAGAAGUAAAUCACUUCGAGCCAUGUUCCUCAAGUGAAACGGCUGCAACACUGGAGCAGUUGCAGCGCGUAUUCUAUUUGUAUUUCUGUAAGCAGCGAACAAAUUGAGCAGCUGUGGUUGUAUUAACUCUACCAACCCUUUCAGAAUGGGAAAGAACAUCGUAUACACAAGUCACAUCAUGAUUUCUCAUUUGAUUGUGUGAAUAUACUGCUAGUCAAAAGUUCAAAUCUUUUUUUUUUUUUGACAAUAAAGACGUUUCUUUGUCCAA